ACCUCCAGCCCUUUGCUGGGGCUGUAUUUAAGCUCAGGCUCCUACUCCUCUUCCUUUCCUUGCCUGUGCUGUGUGAGUGCUGUGCAUUGCCAUGCUCCUUGGCCUUGGCUUCAGCACUGCUUUUGGACCUUCUCCGUUGCUAUGAACCUGUGUGGUGGUAAUCACUGCCCCAGAGCUGGCUCUCCUUGCUCUGGUUCCGAGCCCCAUGUUGGUGAGGUUGCCGUUCUCCUUGGCUCCUGUCUCAUCUUCCUUCACAGAGCAGCCCCCUCUUGCUGCUUCUUGAUGCUUUAUCCUCAGCAGGAGUGCACUAAGGUGUGCCAACCCUAAAGCACCCUCUGGUGCUCUUCCCACUGCAAAUGGAGGCAGAAACCACUGCUUUAGUGAACCUACCUGUGGGAUAAUGUCAGAGGGACCUUGGAAAAGGCUCUCUGUGCUGCCAGUGCUGAGAGUAAAAGAGAGCUGUAACGUGGGAUUUCCCUGCAAUCCCACCCGGUUCCUUGUAAUUACUGGCAGUAUUAAAACCACAAAUCAAAUAGCUGCUUGUUUCUUCUGGUUGUCCAUUGACUGCAAACCUGCAAAGAAGCACUCGCUGCACUUCACUGUGCAGAGAAAUGCUUUGGAGUGAACACACAAAGGCCAAGUAAAGAGAUGAGGCUUUCUGAGCGUAACUAAUUUGAUGAAGAAUAGCACUUACCAAGGAAAGGCGAGAAGUGUUGGCUUAUUGGUUUUAUACAGCUUCUUUGUAAGCCAUUUGUAUGUCUCUGGAUAAGCAGCAUUAAAGUGACUCUAAACA